CGAUCUCGGCUCACUGCAACCUCCGCCUCUCAGGUUCAAGUGAUUCUCCUGCCUCAGCCUCCUGAGUUGCUGGGACUACAGGCACGCACCACCAUGUCCGGCUAAGCUUUGUAUUUUUAGUAGAGACUGAGUUUCACCAUAUUGGCCAGGCUGGUCUCGAACUCCUGACCACGUGCCCGCCUGCCUUGGCCUCCCAAAGUGCUGGGAUUACAGGCGUGGUAUUAUUAAUGUUAAUGGUGUUGCGUCUCUGGGGUAGUGACUGCCUAGUCAAGCUUCUAUUCUGUUUUCUAAUUACUAGGAAACUAAAGGGCAUUUUCCUUAUUUGCUUUGUCACCUUCUAGGGAAAGUGAUGUUUUGCUUUUCUGGUGCAAAAUGUUUUGAAGAAGAUAAUUUCUCAUAGCUGUAUUGGAGCAAACUGUCACUUUAAAUUUUAUUUUGGUGAAAUGGUACCAAUUAUGGCCGGGCGCGGUGGCUCACGCCUGUAAUCCCAGCACUUUGGGAGGCCGAGGCAGGAGGAUCACGAGGUCAGGAGAUCGAGACCAUCCUGGCUAACACGGUGAAACUCCGUCUCCACUAAAAAAUACAAAAAAAAAAAAAUUAGCCGGGCGUGGUGGUGGGCGCCUGUAGUCCCAGCUACUCGGGAGGCUGAGGCAAGAGAAUGGCGUGAACCUGGGGGGCGGAGCUUGCAGUGAGCCGAGAUAGCGCCACUGCACUCCAGCCUUGGGGGCAGAGGCAGACUCCGUCUCAAAAAAAAGAAAAACAAACAAACAAAAAAAAGAAAUGGUACCAAUUAUGGAAGUCUGCAGAUGUAACUAUUUUUUGCUUAUAAACACAGGUGUUUUUGGUGUUUUUAACAUCUCAAAAUGUUGAAGACAGUUCAAUGUGUACUUUAUCACGCAGUACUAUAACAUUAUAUGACUGUAUAGUAGGCUAGGUGCUUACAGAACUAUGUCCUAUGGUAAUUGCUCAAAUGUUCAUUUAAUUGAAUCAAAUUAUUUCAGAUUGUGUUUCUCCAGUUACAAAUAAGUGUCUGCAGAAGUUCCAAUGAUUGACUUCUCUAUGAGUCUCCCCAAACUAUUCCUGUAAAACAAGGGCCUAUGUAUUCAAUAUUCCACCUCUGUCAGGGUAUAAAUCUGCUUUGUUUGCAGCACUGGUUAACUUUUGAAAAGAGGAACAGCAAAAUCAUCACAAGUCUAUUCCUGGAAUUAUGUCACUAAAGCCUAAGUCAAUUCACAUGAUGAAUAUUCUGCCUUCUCAAGAUUUGUGUCCUAACUCCUUCCCCAAUAUAACAAAGGUAGAAGGGCUUUUAAACAUUACUGAUGAGGACAGGUGUGAAGCCACCCUGAGACAAAAGGAAAUGUGUUUGGGGUUCCAAGUGGCAAUGACCUUUGACGACAUGGCCAUCUGUUUUUCAAUACAGGAGUAGGAGAAUCUGGAUGGAUAUCAGAAGGAACUUUACAAGCAGGGGAUGAGGAGUAUCUGUGAAGCUCUGAUCUCUCUAGGCAAGAUGGGUUUUUGUUGAAAAUUUGAGAGUAAUUCAUGAAAUCAGAGACUAAGCAAGUCUCUGCAGGUUACCUGUUCUUUCUGUUGGCUGCUUGGUUGGCCUCUGGAGACAGCAACCUACUUAUCAGUAGGAUAUCCUGAGAAAAAUUAUUUCCUUGAUAAUUAUGCCUAGUUCAUGUCUUCCAAGUAUCCUAUUUGCCUUAUAAUACCUUAAUCAAAUGCUUUAUUGCCACCAAUUUCUUAGGGUCUCUGCAUUUUGGCUUUAUUGUCUUAGAACGCAACCCACAAAACAGCCAGAAGUGUAUGUGCCAGUUAAAUCAAUGCUCAUCUUUCCAGAAUUUUCAUUCCUUUAUUUAAUUCAGGAGAAAUCAAUAAACACUUAUUGCAUACUUCCCAUGUAUCAGAUUCUGGGGUAAGUAGAAAGAUAAAUAAAAUAUAGUCCCUACCUUCAUGGGGCAAAUAGCCCACUGAGAGAGACAUAUGGGCCGGGUGCAGUGGCUCACACUUGUGAUCCCAGGACUUUGGGAGGCCAAGGCGGGCAGAUCUCCUGAGGUCAGGAGUUUGAGACCAGCCUGGCCAACAUAGUGAAACCCGGUCUCUACUAAAAAUACAAAAAUUAGCCACGCAUGGUUGUGGGCGCCUGUAAUCCCAGCUACUGGGGAGGCUAAGGCAGGA
rnacentral:lncRNA from 10 species